rnacentral:rRNA from 1 species
UACAGAGGGUGCAAGCGUUGUUCGGAAUUACUGGGCGUAAAGCGCGUGUAGGCUGCAAUGUAAGUCGGAUGUGAAAGCCCUUGGCUUAACCAAGGAAGUGCAUCCGAUACUGCAUCGCUUGAGUGUCGGAGGGGAUGGCGGAAUUCCCGGUGUAGAGGUGAAAUUCGUAGAUAUCGGGAGGAACACCUGUGGCGAAGGCGGCCAUCUGGACGAUAACUGACGCUGAGACGCGAAAGCGUGGGUAGCAAACAGG